rnacentral:misc_RNA from 1 species
GUGAAUCAUCGAAUUUUUGAACGCAAAUUGCGCUUCCUGGCAUCCCGGGAAGUAUGCCUGUUUGAGGGUCAGUAUUAAUAAAAAUCGGGGUGUUGCUUUCUUUGUGACGCACCGGAGAUUGGGCUACCUUUAACUCUCGGGUUUAAGAUGCUUAAAAUUGAACUUUUUUGCGCACUUUUAGACGUACAUAAAUUUAUUUUAUCGUUUAUUCUGGUGCCAAUUAUCUAUUAGGUGCGAUCAUGUUAUAUGAUCUCGUGCCUAUAAUUUCUCAUCUUUUGACCUCAAAUCAGGUAAGGAUAC